UGCAGAUAUGCUCUAUUGGUUGGGGCGGUGCUCUGUAAAAGCAUUGGUUAUAUGCCGUGGUGAGUUCGAAUCUCACAUCUGCAA
rnacentral:tRNA from 1 species